rnacentral:rRNA from 1 species
UACGUAGGUGGCAAGCGUUGUCCGGAAUUACUGGGUGUAAAGCGCGUGUAGGCGGCAGGCCAAGUCUGCGGUGAAAGCGCCCGGCUCAACUGGGCGAGGUCCGUGGAAACUGGUCAGCUGGAGGACGGUAGAGGCGAGUGGAAUUCCCGGUGUAGUGGUGAAAUGCGUAGAGAUCGGGAGGAACACCAGUGGCGAAGGCGGACUACCUGGCCUGUUUCUUGACGCUGAGGCGCGAAAGCUAGGGGAGCAAACGGG